UACGAAGGGGGCUAGCGUUGUUCGGAAUUACUGGGCGUAAAGCGCGCGCAGGCGGCCUUUCAAGUCAGGGGUGAAAGCCCGGAGCUCAACUCCGGAAUUGCCUUUGAAACUGUCAGGCUCGAGUACGGGAGAGGUGAGUGGAAUUCCCAGUGUAGAGGUGAAAUUCGCAGAUAUUCGGAGGAAUACCAGUGGCGUAGGCGCCUAACUGGACGGUUAUUGACGCUCAGGCACGAAAGCGUGGGGAGCAAACAGG
rnacentral:rRNA from 1 species